rnacentral:rRNA from 1 species
GACGAACGCUGGCGGAGUGCUUAACACAUGCAAGUCGAACGGAGUGGCGAACGGGUGAGUAACACGUGGGUGACCUGCCCUGCACUUCGGGAUAAGCCUGGGAAAGUGGGUCUAAUACCGGAUAGUGUGGGAUGGGCCCGCGGCCUAUCAGCUUGUGGGUGGGGUAAUGGCCUACCAAGGCGGCGACUGGUAGCCGGCCUGAGAGGGUGGACGGCCACAGUGGGACUGAGACACGGACCAGACGCCUACGGGAGGCAGCAGGGGGGAAUAUGGCACAAUCGUCGGACGCCUGAUGCAGCGACGCCGCGUGGGGGAUGACUGCCUUCGGGUUGGAAACUCCUUUCACCAUCUACGCGGUAGAUGGAGAAGAAGCACCGGCUAACUACGUGCCAGCCGCCGCGGUAAUUC